rnacentral:rRNA from 1 species
UACGGAGGGUGCGAGCGUUGUCCGGAAUCAUUGGGCGUAAAGAGCUCGUAGGCGGCUUGUCGCGUCGGCUGUGAAAACCUAGGGCUCAACCUGGGCCUGCAGCCGAUACGGGCAAGCUAGAAUUCGGUAGGGGAGACUGGAAUUCCUGGUGUAGCGGUGAAAUGCGCAGAUAUCAGGAGGAACACCGGUGGCGAAGGCGGGUCUCUGGGCCGAUAUUGACGCUGAGGAGCGAAAGCGUGGGGAGCGAACAGG